AUUGAACGCUGGCGGCAGGCCUAACACAUGCAAGUCGAGCGGAUGAGGGAAGCUUGCUUCCCGAUUUAGCGGCGGACGGGUGAGUAAUGCCUAGGAAUCUGCCUAUUAGUGGGGGAUAACGUUCCGAAAGGAACGCUAAUACCGCAUACGUCCUACGGGAGAAAGUGGGGGAUCUUCGGACCUCACGCUAAUAGAUGAGCCUAGGUCGGAUUAGCUAGUUGGUGGGGUAACGGCUCACCAAGGCGACGAUCCGUAGCUGGUCUGAGAGGAUGAUCAGCCACACUGGAACUGAGACACGGUCCAGACUCCUACGGGAGGCAGCAGUGGGGAAUAUUGGACAAUGGGCGAAAGCCUGAUCCAGCCAUGCCGCGUGUGCGAAGAAGGUCUUCGGAUUGUAAGGCACUUUAAGUUGGGAGGAAGGGUUGUAAGCUAAUAUCUUGCAGCUUUGACGUUACCAACAGAAUAAGCACCGGCUAACUCUGUGCCAGCCGCCGCAGUAACAC
rnacentral:rRNA from 1 species